rnacentral:rRNA from 1 species
GAUGAACGCUGGCGGCGUGCCUAAUACAUGCAAGUCGAGCGAACAGACGAGGAGCUUGCUCCUCUGACGUUAGCGGCGGACGGGUGAGUAACACGUGGAUAACCUACCUAUAAGACUGGGAUAACUUCGGGAAACCGGCGCUAAUACCGGAUAAUAUAUUGAACCGCAUGGUUCAAUAGUGAAAGACGGUUUUGCUGUCACUUAUAGAUGGAUCCGCGCCGCAUUGGCUAGUUGGUAAGGUAACGGCUUACCAAGGCGACGAUGCGUAGCCGACCUGAGAGGGUGAUCGGCCACACUGGAACUGAGACACGGUCCAGACUCCUACGGGAGGCAGCAGUAGGGAAUCUUCCGCAAUGGGCGAAAGCCUGACGGAGCAACGCCGCGUGAGUGAUGAAGGUCUUCGGAUCGUAAAGCUCUGUUAUUAGGGAAGAACAAAUGUGUAAGUAACUAUGCACGUCUUGACGGUACCUAAUCAGAAAGCCACGGCUAACUACGUG